rnacentral:pre_miRNA from 1 species
CAAAGUGCUCAUAGUGCAGGUAGGUUUUGCUGCACUCUACUGCAGUGUGAGCACUUCUGGU